UUGAAAAAUGUCAAAAACGAAAAUGAACUUUCCAGGGGGUUUUUCAGUUCAGUUUUCAUCUCGCUGUUGCUGUUGCUUUUGGUGGGCAAAUGAAUGGCCAUUAAGUAGCACACCCAUAGAAAGGACCCAGCAAGGACCCCCAAGAACCUCAAGCUCAAGGUGAGUUUGCCAGAAAGAGACGGGAGCAUCCGCGAGGGAGAGAGAGCAAAAGCAGCCGAAAAUAUUCCACAACCCCCAGCCCCCGCCUCAGCCCCCAGCAGCUCAGCCUCCAUUUAUCCUCUCCUCCCCUUUGCACCGCUCCUUUUUUGACCUGAUUCUGGUGACGUCAUUCGGCCAGGCCACACUGCGAAUACGUAAUGUGCGAAUCGGGGCUGCAUUAGACUUACGUGGGGGAGGGAGAAAAGGAAGCUGGCCAAGCGAACCGAGUGGAUAACUUGAUUAAAUAGGAAGUUGGCCCAGCGAAAUACGCCAUUUGUUCGAGUACAAUGGAGUAGGACAAAAGCUGCAACUUCUCGUGGUGGCACAGAGAGAAAACGUGGCAUAGAAUAUUGCCAGGCAAACAUGCAACUUUCAAGGCAAGGCGAGGAGAACUGACAGCUGGCACCAACUUAUAACUCAAAGUGCUGUGGAUCCGGGAGGCGGCCCUGAGGCACGCCCACUCCUCCCCUCGAAUAGAGUAGGAAUAAAAACACACACACACACACACGGGCUGGGAUGCUGUGCUGCUGGGAUGUUGGUGUCGGUGAAAAGAUACAAAACUUGCAAAAAUAAAAGAGAGAAAGGAAAAGUUUCAGUUACGUGCUGUUGCUUUUAA